rnacentral:rRNA from 1 species
GCCUUUAUAGGUAAAAGGGCGUAAAGGGUGUGUAGGCCGACAAUCCCCCCCCCCAAGGUGGUAAAUGGAAUUUUUCUGUAACGGUAGAAUGUGUGGAUAGAAAAUAGAACCCCAAAGGCAAAAGCAAUUUACCUCGGGGAAGGGGUGGAAACCAGAUAUUCCCGAUCGGGACCUAUCACUCCCCCCCGAGCACAGGCUGAAACACGAGGGUGUGGGUAACAAACAGGAUUAGAGACCCUGGUAGUCCACACUGUAAACGAUGAAGAAAAUGUUAAUGCAACCCCGAAAGGUAGUAAUCUUCCGCCUGAGUAGUACGAUCGCAAGAUUAAAAUUCAAAAAAUUUGGCUGUUCACUGUUUCGAUUAGAGGAGCGUGUAGUUUAAUUCGAUAAACCGCGAGAUACCUUACCCAAACUUGAAUCACCCAUCCGAGAUUGAAUGGUCUCGGGAGGGUAGACCGGUAUUGCAUGGCCGUCGUCAGUUCGUGUAUGAAACCUUUAACGGACCUAACCCGGGGGUUAGCCGCGGAUGAAGUCAGGUCUUAUGAUCCCUAUGUUUGGGGAUAAUAUGCGCUACAUUUUCUUAUACAAUGGGAAACCUGAAAGGUGAAACCCCAAAGUAGGAGUUCGGUAGGUCAUUGUAAGAUGACCGAAAGUUGAAUUUAAUAGUAAUCGGAAAGUAGAGCGUUCCGGUGAAAUGAUCU